rnacentral:rRNA from 1 species
CNUGGGAACUGCGUUCUGAACUGGGUGACUAGAGUGUGUCAGAGGGAGGUAGAAUUCCACGUGUAGCAGUGAAAUGCGUAGAGAUGUGGAGGAAUACCGAUGGCGAAGGCAGCCUCCUGGGAUAACACUGACGUUCAUGCCCGAAAGCGUGGGUAGCAAACAGGAUUAGAUACCCUGGUAGUNCACGCCCUAAACGAUGUCGAUUAGCUGUUGGGCAGCAUGACUGCUUAGUAGCGAAGCUAACGCGUGAAAUCGACCGCCUGGGGAGUACGGUCGCAAGAUUAAAACUCAAAGGAAUUGACGGGGACCCGCACAAGCGGUGGAUGAUGUGGAUUAAUUCGAUGCAACGCGAAGAACCUUACCUGGUCUUGACAUGUACGGAACCCUCCAGAGACGGAGGGGUGCCUUCGGGAGCCGUAACACAGGUGCUGCGUGGCUGUCGUCAGCUCGUGUCGUGAGAUGUUGGGUUAAGUCCCGCGACGAGCGCAACCCUUGUCAUUAGUUGCCAUCAUUAAGUUGGGCACUCUAAUGAGACUGCCGGUGACAAGCCGGAGGAAGGUAGGGAUGACGUCAAGUCCUCAUGGCCCUUAUGACCAGGGCUUCACACGUCAUACAAUGGUCGGUACAGAGGGUAGCCAAGCCGCGAGGUGGAGCCAAUCUCACAAAACCGAUCGUAGUCCGGAUUGCACUCUGCAACUCGAGUGCAUGAAGUCGGAAUCGCUAGUAAUCGCAGGUCAGCAUACUGCGGUGAAUACGUUCCCGGGUCUUGUACAC